AUGCUGUGAUGAAAUUAUUAUAGUUUCUGAUGUACUUGUGUUGACAAGAAAUCGAGCUUUUUAAUACUGAGCAUC